rnacentral:rRNA from 1 species
UACGUAGGCAGCGAGCGUUGUUCGGAAUUACUGGGCGUAAAGAGUGUGUAGGCGGUGCUCCCAGUCUGUUGUGAAAUCUCCCGGCUUAACUGGGAGGGUGCAGCGGAAACUAGAGUGCUAGAGGGUGGGAGAGGUAAGCGGAAUUCCUGGUGUAGCGGUGAAAUGCGUAGAUAUCAGGAGGAACACCGGUGGCGAAGGCGGGUCUCUGGGCCGAUAUCGACGCUGAGGAGCGAAAGCGUGGGGAGCGAACAGG